rnacentral:lncRNA from 1 species
AUGGGGCUCAUUCCUGACAACAGCCUUUCCAGGCCCAGUUUUUCCCUUCCGGCGGCCUCUCCGGGCCCAGAACCUCCUCAAGUCGGCCUCUCCAGACCCACUUGCACCCUCCGGGCGUUCUCUCCGGGCCCAGCUCUUCUUCCUGGUUGGGUCUCCAGGCCCGAUUCCUGCCUCUCAACAACCUCUUUGGACUCAGUGCCUACCCAUCUCCUGGCGGCCUUGGUCGGCCCACAGCUUCCUCAAGCCAAGCUCCCCAGGCCCAGGUCAGGCCUCACGGUGGCCUCUCCAGGAUGAGCUCCUGCCCUCCGAUGGCAUCUCCAGGCCCCAAAUGGUCUCCGGUCGGUGGGCUCCUCCACGCCAAGGUUGGGCCUCCCGGCGACCGCCGCAGGCCCAAGUUGUCCUGAAGUCAGGCUCUCCCGGCCCUGCCUCCCAGCAAGUAAGCAAGCUCUUUUGGCUCAACUCCUGCCCAGCUCCUGAAGAGCUUGGUUGCAGAAACUUCGGGGUCUACAAACGCAGGCGGGAGCUGAGCCAAAAGAGCUUGUUUGCUGGGAGGUGGGAGAUGCAGCCAGGAGGAACAGCUGGGCAAUGCGGGAGGCAGAGGCCAGGCCUCCUCAAGUUGGCCUCUCAGACCCACUUGCAGCCUCCCGGCGCCCCCUCCGGGCCCAGCUCUUCCUCCCGGCUGCAUCUCCAGGCCGGACUCUGGCCCGACUCCAGGUCCCAACAACGUCUUUGGACUCAGCUCCUGCCCAGCUCCCAGCGGCCCUGGUAGGCCCACAACUUCCCUAAGCCAAGCUCCCCAGGCCCAGCUCAGGCCUCGCGGUGGCCUCUCCAGGCUCAGCUCCUGGCCCUCCGAUGACAUCUGCAGGCCCCAAAUGGCCUCCGGUCGGUGGGCUCCUCUAGGCCCAGCUUGGGCCUCCCGGCGGCCUCUGCAGGCCCAAAUCGUCCCGAAGUCAGUCUCUCCAGGCUUAGCUCCAGCCUCCCGGCGGCCUCUGCAGGCCCAAGUCGUCCUCAAGUCGGCCUGGAAGUGGGCCUGGAAGAGCAGCAAGUCGGCCUCCCUGGGCCCAGCUCCGUCCUCUCGACGGCCUCUCCAGGUGCAAAACUUCCUCGAGUCAGCCUCUCCAGGCCCAGCUCCUCCUGCCUCCCAGUGGCCUCUUUCGGCCCAGCCCAGCUCAUGGCUCUCGGCGGCCUUCCCAGGCCCCGCUUUUGACUUUUGGCAGCCUCUUCAGGCGCAGAACU